rnacentral:rRNA from 1 species
UACAGAGGAUGCAAGCGUUAUCCGGAAUGAUUGGACGUAAAGCGUCUGUAGGUGGCUUUUUAAGUCCGCCGUCAAAUCCCAGGGCUCAACUCUGGACAGGCGGUGGAAACUACCAAGCUGGAGUACGGUAGGGGCAGAGGGAAUUUCCGGUGUAGCGGUGAAAUGCGCAGAUAUCGGGAAGAACACCCGUGGCGAAGGCGGCACUCUGGGACGGUACUGACGCUGAGACGCGAAAGCGUGGGGAGCGAACAGG